rnacentral:tRNA from 1 species
CAGUAAAUAGUUUAUUAAAAAAUAUAAGUUUUGGGAAUUUAAGAUAAGAUAGUAUAAUUCUUUUUACUGA